rnacentral:rRNA from 1 species
GACAGAGGGUGCAAACGUUGUUCGGAAUUACUGGGCGUAAAGCGCGUGUAGGCUGCUCGGAAAGUCGGAUGUGAAAGCCCUGGGCUCAACCUAGGAAGUGCAUUCGAAACUUCCGAGCUGGAGUGCUGGAGAGGAAGGCGGAAUUCUCGGUGUAGAGGUGAAAUUCGUAGAUAUCGAGAGGAACACCGGUGGCGAAGGCGGCCUUCUGGACAGUAACUGACGCUGAGACGCGAAAGCGUGGGGAGCAAACAGA